UCUUCUUCCCUGCUUUUCAUUCUAUUUGGCUGUCAGCGUCUUUCUUGCUCAGUACCAAGUAUGAAAUAUCAAAUGCUUUUCCAUGAAAAAGGAUACAAUUUCAGGGUGAUUUCAAACAUCCUUAAUUCUAUCAAUAUCAAUAUUAAUUUCGAAGUCAUUCUGGACACAAAUAGAAAGCCCUGGAAUUGUCUGGGAGCUAAGAUCAAAGAUGGAAGCAGCAGUGAGAACAAGUCUGAGUUUGCAUUCUCAGAUUUUUUUUUUUUUUUUAAAGCAAGAGGCCCUUGAAACUGAAGAAGAAUGGCAAAGAGCAGAACAGGAGGAGAUAAGACCCAGAAGAGUUCCCAGAGGAGUGUCACAAGAACCACAAAGUAUACAGGAUUUUGAAGUUAUUAUGAAUGAGCUGAAACCAUGCAAUAGUGACAGACUCAAGAUUCUUGCUGUGUAAGAAAUAGACUAUGAAAGUGACAUAUCCAAGUCAAGGCCACUGCUAUACUUAUGGUAGAGAUGAAUAAAAUCUCAGCCAGAAUGGUAGCUUCAGACCUGAUAAAAAUCUGGUUGGAUUAAGGAGAUAUUUGAACAGCACAGACAGCAAGAAAUUUUAAGAUGAGAAAAAGUGCUGUAAAUACUAUGUGCACCACUUCCGAAGACACAUGUCUUUUUCAAAGAAUCCUUUGACCAACUAUACAAAGCAAUAAAGAAACUGGUUGUGGUUGCUAUGACAAGAAUUGAAUCUAAAUGAGAAAACACUGAAACAGGGAAACUUA